GACGAACGCUGGCGGCGUGCCUAAUACAUGCAAGUCGAGCGGAUGGAAGGAAGCUUGCUUCCUAAAGUCGGCGGCGGACGGGUGAGUAACACGUGGGCAACCUGCCCCUAAGAUCGGGAUAACUUCGGGAAACCGGAGCUAAUACCGGAUAUGAUUAUGUCUCACAUGGGACAUAAUGGAAAGACGGUUUCGGCUGUCACUUAGGGAUGGGCCCGCGGCGCAUUAGCUAGUUGGUGAGGUAACGGCUCACCAAGGCGACGAUGCGUAGCCGACCUGAGAGGGUGAUCGGCCACACUGGGACUGAGACACGGCCCAGACUCCUACGGGAGGCAGCAGUAGGGAAUCUUCCGCAAUGGACGAAAGUCUGACGGAGCAACGCCGCGUGAGUGAAGAAGGUUUUCGGAUCGUAAAACUCUGUUGUUAGGGAAGAACAAGUACCAUAGUAACUGAUGGUACCUUGACGGUACCUAACCAGAAAGCCACGGCUAACUACGUGCCAGCCGCCGCAGUAA
rnacentral:rRNA from 1 species